rnacentral:rRNA from 1 species
CAGUAGCCGCGGUAAUACGAAGGGUGCAAGCGUUAAUCGGAAUUACUGGGCGUAAAGCGUGCGUAGGCGGUUUGUUAAGUCUGUUGUGAAAUCCCCGGGCUCAACCUGGGAAUGGCAAUGGAUACUGGCAAGCUAGAGUGUGUCAGAGGAUGGUGGAAUUCCCGGUGUAGCGGUGAAAUGCGUAGAGAUCGGGAGGAACAUCAGUGGCGAAGGCGGCCAUCUGGGACAACACUGACGCUGAGGCACGAAAGCGUGGGGAGCAAACAGGAUUAGGUACCCCGGUAGUCCCUGUCUCUUAUAA